rnacentral:rRNA from 1 species
UACGAAGGGUGCAAGCGUUACUCGGAAUUACUGGGCGUAAAGCGUGCGUAGGUGGUGAGUUAAGUCUGUCGUGAAAGCCCCCGGGCUCAACCUGGGAAUGGCGAUGGAUACUGGCUCGCUAGAGUGCGGUAGAGGAGAGUGGAAUUCCCGGUGUAGCAGUGAAAUGCGUAGAGAUCGGGAGGAACAUCAGUUGCGAAGGCGGCUCUCUGGACCAGCACUGACACUGAGGCACGAAAAGCGUGGGGGAGCAAAACCAGG